GAUGAACGCUGGCGGCGUGCCUAAUACAUGCAAGUCGAGCGGACAGACGAGGAGCUUGCUCCUCUGACGUUAGCGGCGGACGGGUGAGUAACACGUGGAUAACCUACCUAUAAGACUGGGAUAACUUCGGGAAACCGGAGCUAAUACCGGAUAAUAUAUUGAACCGCAUGGUUCAAUAGUGAAAGACGGUUUUGCUGUCACUUAUAGAUGGAUCCGCGCCGCAUUAGCUAGUUGGUAAGGUAACGGCUUACCAAGGCAACGAUGCGUAGCCGACCUGAGAGGGUGAUCGGCCACACUGGAACUGAGACACGGUCCAGACUCCUACGGGAGGCAGCAGUAGGGAAUCUUCCGCAAUGGGCGAAAGCCUGACGGAGCAACGCCGCGUGAGUGAUGAAGGUCUUCGGAUCGUAAAACUCUGUUAUUAGGGAAGAACAAAUGUGUAAGUAACUAUGCACGUCUUGACGGUACUUAAUCAGAAAGCCACGGCUAACUACGUG
rnacentral:rRNA from 1 species